rnacentral:lncRNA from 1 species
AGGCCAGAGCUCAAGAAGCUGCUGAAUGGUCUGGGCCUUCGGGACCCAGAGGGCUUCCUGUUCAAGGAGAUGAUGACCUGGGUCCAGGGCUCCAAACUUAAUUCCAAGGCCAAGCUGCGCUUAUACUGCUGCCAGAAGCUGGAGGGCAUGAUCCAGCAGCUGAAGGUCUGGUGCACAUGGCCUAGCUGGGCUUCUCCAGAGGCAGCCCUGGGGUCCCCUGGGCUACAGGGAUGCCUGCUUUGGCUUCCUGCUCAGGGGUGGGGCACCCGGUCCCUGGGGCUGGGAAUUAGGCAAAAGGGAAUUUCAGUAGCCAAGGAGCAAGGAUGCUUCUUAGACUGGCCACUUCCUCUACAGAUGGAAACUUUACAGCCAUCUACAGCUCAGUUGUCAAUGGUGCUGCCCAAAGGCUCUGAUACCUGGCCGCCUUCCUUUCCUCCCAGGGAGGACCAGUCACAGGCUUCAGCAGUCUCAGGGGCUCCUUCGAGCAUCUUCUGGCCGCAAGCCUCUCAGGCGCUCCUCCAUGUCCUGGAGCCUCCCUUGCUUGUGGUGUCCCCCACAGAAUCUAAAGCUGGAUCCCCAGAGCCCCAGGCUCACUUUUACACUGGGCAGACCAGGCGGUCGCUCUCAGAGACGCUGAAGAGCUUCUGCUCGGUGCCUGAGCCCUCCAUGCCCACUGCACCACAUGGCCUGCCACAGCCGCUGGAAAAGACCGACUGGUCGAAAUGGCAGAUGCUGGACCUGGGCUACGUCGAUGCACUCAACCACUUCUGCGAGCAGCAUCAAGUACAGCAGCAGAGUUUGAUCCAGAAGGAAACCGAACAGCCACCCCGCUCUGCAUCCCCGCGCCCUCCUGUGCCUAACACUGUGGUGGCGCCACCCAGGGAUCAAGGGUGAGUGCAGCGAGGGGGCCCCCUGGCCGGCAUGGGCAGGUGAGCAUUGUCUGUCUGACCUGACUCCUUCUCCCAGGCACUACCCCAUACUUAGACUGCAGGAAGCCAAGGCUCGGAGCUCUGGGAUGAGAAUGAAGGGUGAGUGGGCUCAAGGGUGGAGACUGGUCCCUGGUCCCACACCCUUUCCUCAUCCCAGCCUUGGCUGGUGGUCUCAUUGGCCUGCCUGCCUGCUCCCAGGCCGUGUGAUGUCACAUCUCAGCACCCACUGUGCCCGUUCACUGGACCGUUCCAUCCGGGUGCUAAAGCUGCCCCUGCCGAGAGUGGAGCUGCAGCCCUUCCCCCCAGGCUGGCCCGCACCCCCUCGUGCCCUGCCCCCGUUGCUCCUGCAGCCCACCCUGCAGCGCUACUUUCUGCCCGAAGAUGCGGAUCCUGACAGCUACAGCUGACCUGGCAGGCACGGUGGGUCCUGCGUGUCAAUCCCGCCAAGUUGAAUUGCAACAACACUUGUGUCUUCUAUGUUCCCUGGCAUAGGCCUGCAUCUAGAAUAAAGUCCA